GAAUGAGUUUACAUAGCCUGGGGGGGUGACGUUUUUUUUUUUUUUUUAGGACUAGACCCCAGCUAUAUUUAACUCCUAAGUUAUUUGGUUCAAACAAAGGGAUUGGUGUGGCUAAACAUUAGGUACCUUUUGAUAUUCUAAAAUCUCCGGGGGGCUGGCAUCUAGAUGCUGGGGUGGGGAGGUCUCGACAUCGCUGGGCUGAUUGACUUUUUAAAACCCUACAGCAUCUGUUUUAGACCCUAAAACAUAAAUUAUGUUUUGACAUGUUGUUAAUGAUUCGUAAGUGGCCGUAAGACAAAGACACACUUUUUUGUUUUGGGGUCGGCCUCUGUUUUGACGUAUAUUGUAAAGAGAGAGAGAGAGAGCCUUGAGCGCAGACGCCUGGCCAUUUCUGAACACACACCCCGCCCCGUUUUCUUUGUUUUGAAACACACACAUACGCAUACACUCCAGCACACGCACGCACGCACACACACACGCGCGCACAUGGCUUUUUCUGCAAGUUUUUUUCUCCGGGGGCAUGCUUGGUGAUAGAAGUUAAGGACUUAUUCCUAUCGUUAGAAGAUAUAGGUCCUGGUUAGCCCCUGACCAUUAUCCGAUCGCUAAGACGCUUGCACACUCCCUCAAAGCUCCGUAAGUUUUCCCUCCAUGGGUAGAUAAUCCGUCCGUCAUGUAAAUCCUGGGGUAUGCACCCAGCUUUAAUGAAUAAGAUGGGUAGAAAAUGAAUCUGUUUAAGUCAUAAGUAAAGGCCUUUCAUAAAGAGGCUGUCAUGAUUGACUGUGGCCCAUAUUUAACACGUAUUGCAUGUUACCUAAGACUAUUGUUGUACAUUGAAUAUCCACUAGCAGAUUUGUGUAGCAUGCAUCUCCACUAUAUCGGUCAUGUUCCUGUGGUCUUUUUAAAAGUUAAUAAACCUGUGUGUAAAAUGUACACUUUUGUUUCACUGUAGAUUUGUUUAAGCCCACCUAGAAACACCUGAUUUAUCCCACAGCAUUAAGGAAUAAGCUGUGUAUAAAAAUAUUCUGUUUAAGUCCUAAGUAAAGGCCUUUCCUAAAGAGGCUGUCAUGAUUGACUGUGGCCCAUAUUUAACACGUAUUGCUUGUUACAGAAGACCCCUGUUGUACAUUGAAUAUCCAAUAGCCGAUUUUUGGAGCAUCUCCACUAUAUCUGUCAUGUUACUGUGGUCUUUUUAAAAGUCAAUAAACAUGUGUGUAAAAUGUACACUUUUGUUUCACUGUAGAUUGUUUAAGCCCACCUAGAAACACCUGAUUUAUCCCACAGCAUCAAUGAAUAAGCUGCGUAUAAAAUUAUUCUGUUUAAGUCAUAAGUAAAGGCCUUUCAUAAAGAGGCUGUCAUGAUUGACUGUGGCCCAUAUUUAACACGUAUUGCUUGUUACAGAAGACCCCUGUUGUACAUUGAAUAUCCAAUAGCCGAUUUUUGGAGCAUCUCCACUAUAUCUGUCAUGUUACUGUGGUCUUUUUAAAAGUCAAUAAACAUGUGUGUAAAAUGUA